UACGUAGGGGGCAAGCGUUGUCCGGAUUUAUUGGGCGUAAAGAGCGUGUAGGCGGCCAGACAGGUCCGUUGUGAAAACUCGAGGCUCAACCUCGAGACGCCGAUGGAAACCGUCUGGCUAGAGUCCGGAAGAGGAGAGUGGAAUUCCUAGUGUAGAGGUGAAAUUCGUAGAUAUUAGGAAGAACACCGGUGGCGAAGGCGGCCCACUGGCUCGAUACUGACGCUGAGGUGCGAAAGCGUGGGGAGCAAACAGG
rnacentral:rRNA from 1 species